UCAAUUGGUCAUAUUGUUGUCUGCUCAACCCUGGUAUCACAGAACUCUGGCCAUCCAUGUUUGGAACAGGGUGAUGGCUUUCAGGAGGAUUUCCAUGAUUAGCAGACAUAUUUCCUUCAGAAGAAGGGAAAUCCACACUAGUAGUGAUAUGAGCAGCAGCAGGUUUGUGGAUACCCAUGAAUCUUGUAACACUUAUCAAUUAAGUGCCCAGAUUUUUUGCAGUAUCUUUACCCAUGAUUUGUACACAUUGUUCCUAAUUCAUCCCACAGUCCUUUAAGUUUGUUAAAAUUUGAGGCUACAUCUAGAGAUCCUUGAGAAGUAUGCGAGAGUUCUCUUUUUAGUUCAAAGAUUUUGGUUCUGUUAGCAAUGCCAUAUCUAGCUUCGAGUUGUGCCCAUAUACUCUGUGCAGUAUCAGAAUACUGCACACUCUCA
rnacentral:lncRNA from 1 species